rnacentral:lncRNA from 1 species
CUCCAAUAAUCAUUAUUAACUAAACUCUAAAAUAUAAUAAUAUCCGUACAAAAUCUAGAUCCAAAAUUCUAAAAUACCUAAAAAUCCAAUACAUUUUCCCAAAAAAAAAAAAAAAACGACAAACUAAGUAGUGCGUUUUUCAAUCCCAUUGGCCUCCUCAAUUUUCUUCACAGCAAUCUUUGACACGAGCUUAGGUACUUUUUUGUGAGGAAAUCUUCGACAACAAUCUUCGACACGACACAAUACUCUUGGCUCCAGUACAAACCUAAAGAAGCUGAAUAAACAUAAAUAUUACUGCAACAUAAAAGUAUAAUCAUCUGAAGAUGAAACAUGUACUCUUAUUUAAUUCCCGUUUAGGGCAAAUACAUUUGUAUUUUGGAUUUUUUAUUUUUAAACAUUGCAAAAGUGACAAGUAUACAAAAAUGUUUAGGCUAUAUCAAGAGUGUACCAUUAUAAUUCUAUAUCAAGAGUGUACCAUUAUCUUGUCUGUCCUGUCAUCUUGGCAAUAUGAAUGCUCAACUAACUAGCAUAAUAUUGGAGUUUUAUAGACCAAUAUGAUUUCUGGAACUAAUCAGCAUACUAUUGGAGUUAUGAAGAUACUAACCAGGGUUUGCAAAUAAUGAUUGUGAACCACGGGCAAGUGUGAUGUCCUUGGAGUAAAUGAUGGAGCUGCAAUGCAACGGCAAGCAAUAAGCACAAGCGACGGAAUAAAGUUUUCUGAAAUAAAAAAGUCCAGCUUUAAGAAUGCCAUGAACAUGUUUUCUUUUCUGCAAAUAGGUCGUCACAAAAUAAUUUUACAUUUUGCCAUCGUUAGGAAUGCUACAAGAUAUAUAUUCUAACUGAUACCAAGAAAGCAUAUUUCUCCUUUCCUUUUGUAGAAUUCUUCUUAUUUUAUAUAACUUUAUCUCUUUGUUUUCCUUUUUGCUCUUUUGGGAAAUGAAAUGAAAGGAGACAAAAGUUUCUUAAAGCUACAUUUCAUUGUACUAAGCCUUAUCCCGUACUCAACAAGAAUCAAUAUUCUUAAGGAAAUUAAAUGAUAUAACAUGAGAAUAUUUCAAAUGCCAAAAGAAAUAAAAAAAUUCUACGGAACUAUAUAUCAAAAUGAAAAUCAGAAAUUAGUUACACUAAGCACUUUGCCUGCAGAUGAACUGAUGCAUUUUUACACAGGCGUCUUCAUUUGGGAUCUAAAAUCUAUUGCCUCAAUUUAAAUUUAUCCAAAAUUAAGUUCUAAUGGUAUUUUGAUGUCCAAAUGUCGUAAGAUAUAGAAGAUUUAUUUGUUUAUUUAUUUAUUUUUUUUACCAAAUCUCUGGAUUAGACAAAAUAACGCCUUUGUAAAAGAGUAAUUUUGUCUAGAAUAGUUUAGUCUUUGAUAUAUGCUGUUCAAGCUAAACAAUUUUCAAUAAUAAAGAAAAUCAUAUUGGUCGUCUAACUCCUCAAUUAAUUAUUUUUCUACAGGGAAUUUCUCCAAAUAUACGAUGAUAAAAUGUGGUCAAUGAGUAUCCAUUUGAAACAUACCAGAAGCCACAAAGCGCAACACAAUCAGUGCCUGCAUCAAAUAAAAAAAAAAGGCUAAUGUCAAACUACAUUGAUUUUGUAAAAACACGGGUCUGUUAAAACAGAAAGAAAGGCUUUUUAUCGUUUCAGUGGCAUGAAAGAUGGAUACAAUUACCAAAAAUAAUGAGCAUAAUUCAGGCUACAACAAUGAACUUGAACUGUGUAUAAAGCAGCUAUCAUCUCAUUUUCAUAACUAACAAUAUCCAUCAUUAUCAGGGUUUGAAUUCUUUUAAGAGCUCAACUAAAAUUUGAAAUUCAACAAAAUCCAAUAAAAUUAUAUACUCCCUCAAGAAUCUAGUUUAUUAUUUAAUCAUUUUUAGGUUCUUUCCCUCAAGAAUUACAGACACAUACAUUCCAACCAUAUUUUAAACAUGAAAGGACAAACAAGAGAAUGAGCUCAUCUAACUAAAACCAAAUAAAAUACACCACAAGGCUCUUACCCAACGUGCUCUUACCCAACGUGUUUUUGAAAAUUUACCCCAUCCAUGUGUUACAUCAGAGGGAUCCUUCAGAGUUGUCCCAACAUAUACCAGGGCAAAAAUAAUUGGCUGUAGAAGGAGCAGAAAAAUAAUUGGCUGUAGAAGGAGCACAAAUGGGCAUCAACAUACUAAGCAAACAAAUGGAAGCAUUCAAGACAAAACAUACAUAAAUGUGCAUCAAGGUAUUUGUAGCAGGUCAAUAUAGCAUAGAAUCAAAGAACGAAGUAUGAAAGUCUAACGUCUUAAAUCCAAAGGACUAUGCAAAGCUAGGGAGCUGCAUUUGAUGUUGCACUCACAAUUCAUUGCAAGAUACAAGAAAGGGAUAUUGAAGUUGGGCGAAACCUUGGCAACUAGAUCCUUCAAUGGCUUUAUAAAAUGAAGCCAUCGGCUCAAAUCCAGCUCUCUCGCUCUCCCAAGAUCCAGGAUUUUGUAAAAUUACGGAUAUAUACGUUUUUCUCCUCCUUCCAGCUUUCCCGCUCUCCUAGGAUCCAAGACUUUGUAAAGCCAAUUACUUCAAUACUUCAACAUCCACCAAAUUGCUGCACCCAAAACCCAUUAACACCAACCAUUUAGGA